AGAUUGAACGCUGGCGGCAUGCCUAACACAUGCAAGUCGAGCGGCAGCGCGGGGGCAACCCUGGCGGCGAGCGGCGGACGGGUGAGUAAGGCAUCGGAAUCUGCCCUGAUGUGGGGGAUAACGUAGGGAAACUUACGCUAAUACCGCAUACGACCGAGAGGUGAAAGCGGGGGACCGAAAGGCCUCGCGCAGCAGGAUGAGCCGAUGUCUGAUAGCUAGUUGGGUGGGGUAACCGGCCUAACCGAAGGCGACGAUCGGUAGCGUGGUCUGAGGAGGACCGACCAGCCACACGUGGGACUGAGACACCGGCCCAGACCUCCGUACGGGAGGCAGC
rnacentral:rRNA from 1 species